rnacentral:rRNA from 1 species
UAACGCGUGAGUAACCUGCCUUGGAGUGGGGAAUAACACAUCGAAAGAUGUGCUAAUACCGCAUAAUGCAGUUGGGCCGCAUGGCUCUGACUGCCAAAGAUUUAUCGCUCUGAGAUGGACUCGCGUCUGAUUAGCUGGUUGGCGGGGUAACGGCCCACCAAGGCGACGAUCGGUAGCCGGACUGAGAGGUUGACCGGCCACAUUGGGACUGAGACACGGCCCAGACUCCUACGGGAGGCAGCAG